GGGUCAGUAGGUUGGUCGUGCCACCGGUACGUACUGGUCUCACUGAUUCCUCCUUCCUGAAGAACCGUAAUGCCAUUAAUUUGGUGUUGCGGGGAAACAGGACUGUUACUUUGAAAAAAUUAGAGUGUCUAUAGCAAGCUAACGCUUGAAUACAUUAGCAUGGAAUAAUGAAAUAGGACGAUCGAUCCUAUUUUGUUGGUUUCUAGGAUUGACGUA
rnacentral:rRNA from 1 species